rnacentral:piRNA from 1 species
UAGAUGAAAGGUGAUCUGUUGAUUUGAACU